rfam:Camelus ferus unplaced genomic scaffold scaffold12719, whole genome shotgun sequence.
GAGGUUAUAGGUCAAGUAGUAGAGCACAUGCUUAGCACACAUGAGUUCCUGGGUUCAAUCCCCAGUACCUCCU